GCGCCAGUAGCUCAGAUGGAUAGAGCGGCAGCCUUCUAAGCUGUUGGUCGGGGGUUCGAGUCCCUCCUGGCGCG
rnacentral:tRNA from 4 species